rnacentral:rRNA from 1 species
GGUUAACCGUAUAGGGGAGCCGAAGGGAAACCGAGUCUUAACUGGGCGUUAAGUUGCAGGGUAUAGACCCGAAACCCGGUGAUCUAGCCAUGGGCAGGUUGAAGGUUGGGUAACACUAACUGGAGGACCGAACCGACUAAUGUUGAAAAAUUAGCGGAUGACUUGUGGCUGGGGGUGAAAGGCCAAUCAAACCGGGAGAUAGCUGGUUCUCCCCGAAAGCUAUUUAGGUAGCGCCUCGUGAACUCAUCUUCGGGGGUAGAGCACUGUUUCGGCUAGGGGGUCAUCCCGACUUACCAACCCGAUGCAAACUGCGAAUACCGAAGAAUGUUAUCACGGGAGACACACGGCGGGUGCUAACGUCCGUCGUGAAGAGGGAAACAACCCAGACCGCCAGCUAAGGUCCCAAAGUCAUGGUUAAGUGGGAAACGAUGUGGGAAGGCACAGACAGCCAGGAUGUUGGCUUAGAAGCAGCCAUCAUUUAAAGAAAGCGUAAUAGCUCACUGGUCGAGUCGGCCUGCGCGGAAGAUGUAACGGGGCUAAACCAUGCACCGAAGCUGCGGCAGCGACACUAUGUGUUGUUGGGUAGGGGAGCGUUCUGUAAGCCGUUGAAGGUGGCCUGUGAGGGUUGCUGGAGGUAUCAGAAGUGCGAAUGCUGACAUAAGUAACGAUAAUGCGGGUGAAAAACCCGCACGCCGGAAGACCAAGGGUUCCUGUCCAACGUUAAUCGGGGCAGGGUGAGUCGACCCCUAAGGCGAGGCCGAAAGGCGUAGUCGAUGGGAAACAGGUUAAUAUUCCUGUACUUGGUGUUACUGCGAAGGGGGGACGGAGAAGGCUAUGUUAGCCGGGCGACGGUUGUCCCGGUUUAAGCAUGUAGGCGGAGGUUCCAGGUAAAUCCGGUACCUUUUAACGCUGAGGUGUGAUGACGAGGCACUACGGUGCUGAAGUAACAAAUGCCCUGCUUCCAGGAAAAGCCUCUAAGCAUCAGGUAACACGAAAUCGUACCCCAAACCGACACAGGUGGUCAGGUAGAGAAUACCAAGGCGCUUGAGAGAACUCGGGUGAAGGAACUAGGCAAAAUGGUGCCGUAACUUCGGGAGAAGGCACGCUGAUAUGUAGGUGAAGUGAUUUACUCAUGGAGCUGAAAUCAGUCGAAGAUACCAGCUGGCUGCAACUGUUUAUUAAAAACACAGCACUGUGCAAACACGAAAGUGGACGUAUACGGUGUGACGCCUGCCCGGUGCCGGAAGGUUAAUUGAUGGGGUUAUCCGUAAGGAGAAGCUCUUGAUCGAAGCCCCGGUAAACGGCGGCCGUAACUAUAACGGUCCUAAGGUAGCGAAAUUCCUUGUCGGGUAAGUUCCGACCUGCACGAAUGGCGUAAUGAUGGCCAGGCUGUCUCCACCCGAGACUCAGUGAAAUUGAACUCGCUGUGAAGAUGCAGUGUACCCGCGGCAAGACGGAAAGACCCCGUGAACCUUUACUAUAGCUUGACACUGAACACUGGUCCUUGAUGUGUAGGAUAGGUGGGAGGCUUUGAAGUGUGGACGCCAGUCUGCAUGGAGCCAUCCUUGAAAUACCACCCUUUAAUGGCUGGUGUUCUAACGUGGACCCGUUACCCGGGUUGCGGACAGUGUCUGGUGGGUAGUUUGACUGGGGCGGUCUCCUCCUAAAGAGUAACGGAGGAGCACGAAGGUUAGCUAAUCCUGGUCGGACAUCAGGAGGUUAGUGCAAAGGCAUAAGCUAGCUUGACUGCGAGAGUGACGGCUCGAGCAGGUGCGAAAGCAGGUCUUAGUGAUCCGGUGGUUCUGAAUGGAAGGGCCAUCGCUCAACGGAUAAAAGGUACUCCGGGGAUAACAGGCUGAUACCGCCCAAGAGUUCAUAUCGACGGCGGUGUUUGGCACCUCGAUGUCGGCUCAUCACAUCCUGGGGCUGAAGUAGGUCCCAAGGGUAUGGCUGUUCGCCAUUUAAAGUGGUACGCGAGCUGGGUUUAGAACGUCGUGAGACAGUUCGGUCCCUAUCUGCCGUGGGCGCUGGAGAAUUGAGGGGGGCUGCUCCUAGUACGAGAGGACCGGAGUGGACGCAUCACUGGUGUUCGGGUUGUCAUGCCAAUGGCAUUGCCCGGUAGCUAAAUGCGGAAGAGAUAAGUGCUGAAAGCAUCUAAGCACGAAACUUGCCCCGAGAUGAGUUCUCCCUGA